AUUGAACGCUGGCGGAAUGCUUAACACAUGCAAGUCGAGCGGGCUGUAGCAAUACAGCUAGCGGCGGACGGGUGAGGAAUACAUAGGAAUCUGCCUCAGAGUGGGGGAUAGCCCGGGGAAACCCGGAUUAAUACCGCAUGAUGUCGUAAGACCAAAGCAGGGGACCGUAAGGCCUUGCGCUUUGAGAUGAGCCUAUGUCGGAUUAGCUAGUUGGCGGGGUAAAAGCCCACCAAGGCGACGAUCCGUAGCUGGUCUGAGAGGACGAUCAGCCACACUGGGACUGAGACACGGCCCAGACUCCUACGGGAGGCAGCAGUGGGGAAUCUUGCGCAAUGCGCGAAAGCGUGACGCAGCAACGCCGCGUGCGGGAAGACGGCCUCGGUGUAACGUACGUU
rnacentral:rRNA from 1 species